rnacentral:rRNA from 1 species
AACGAACGCUGGCGGCAUGCCUAACACAUGCAAGUCGAACGAGACCUUCGGGUCUAGUGGCGCACGGGUGCGUAACGCGUGGGAAUCUGCCCUUGGGUUCGGAAUAACAGUUGGAAACGACUGCUAAUACCGGAUGAUGUCUUCGGACCAAAGAUUUAUCGCCCAGGGAUGAGCCCGCGUAGGAUUAGCUUGUUGGUGAGGUAAAGGCUCGCCAAGGCGACGAUCCUUAGCUGGUCUGAGAGGAUGAUCAGCCACACUGGGACUGAGACACGGCCCAGACUCCUACGGGAGGCAGCAGUGGGGAAUAUUGGACAAUGGGCGAAAGCCUGAUCCAGCAAUGCCGCGUGAGUGAUGAAGGCCUUAGGGUUGUAAAGCUCUUUUGCCAGGGAUGAUAAUGACAGUACCUGGAGAAUAAGCUCCGGCUAACUCCGUGCCAGCCGCCGCCGUAAGAC